GAACCAGUUUGAAACUUACUGGAAACAAAGAGCUCCUUUUGACACAUGAGAAUGCACUCAUCACUUUUAGAAUGCAGUUGUACUGUGUAAACUUUGGCUAGUUUCCUCAUUCUUGGCUAGUGGUUGGUGUUAUGUUUUAAUGAGCACAAAGGAUCUGUCGUUCCUCCUCUUUUGUAAAAGCAGGAGUCCCAGCAUGAGUGGCAUUGACACUGUCUCCCUCUCUCCUCCCAUCCCCUUCUCAAAUCUAGAAGCUUCCAAGAAGCUCAGCUUUAUAACCCCACUCUGGCGAUUUGUUAAUAUUUCACACUACCCCCACCCCCCUUCCACCUCUCUCUCUCCCUAUGUUGUGACUGCGGUAAUGGGGGAGGGGUAGAGAUGAAUCAGAACUUCUCUGCAAUUUUGGGGCAUGAAAAAUCUAUCCCCAUCCAACUAAUAAAGCCCCACCCUGGUCCCUUAUGGUUAGACCGUAUCUAUGUACUGGUGUAUUGGCACAUUUGGCAAUACUGAUAAGUGACUUGGCUGUGAGAGAGGUGUGGCCAAGCUGAAGGGGCUGGGCUUCUUCUAAUGGCAAUAAUUUAUUAUUCAGGAGUAUGUGCGAGAACCAAUACACACAUUGUGUGUAUUAAUGAAGACUGGGGCAGUACACUACGACAGGAAGAUCAGAAAACUCCCCUCCCAUCUCAUAUGCCCUACAGCACUCGCCACCCCUAAGAUAAUGCUGGUCCUCUCCCUACCCUUUAAAAUCUUACUGAGUAGGUGUUACAUUAUUUACUGGUGUAAGGGCAUGUUUCUUCUGUUGAAAGGGAUGGGGAAAAACUCUGCUGCUUUUUGGCUGGGAGGAUUAUGGUAUACCACUCUGUUCGGCUCUGUCCCUGUGGAGGGAGGAGAGAAUGAUGCAGAGAGAGGAGAGAAGGCAGAGAUUACUGCAGAUCCACACAUUCUUCCCUCCCAUUCCCAGCCCCCUCCACGGAGGUAGAAGUAUUAUAAUUUCCUUUCCCUGCUCCACUCCUCCAUCUCUUGCUGGAAUACCAAAUCCAUUCUUCCUCUUCAUUAACCCCAAUCUAUCUCCUUAAUGCUGAGUGCUAAGCAGAAAUGCAUUGGAUUCCAGUUUUGCGGUCUUUGGUAUGACUCGUCCGGAGCUCGAACUCCCAACCUUCCAAUCUCAGGGUGAACACUAACCACAAGCCCACUGAGUUGGUCCAGAUCCAUGGUAACAGACAGUAUAAAGAAAAUGCCACCAAUCAAAUUGUAACCCGUGGCUUUGUCUGGCUGAACCUGAAUCAGACUUUGUUCUAGUGUGGGAGGUGAAACAGAGAAAGCGUUGCUCCAAAAGAGGGGGAGAUUGGAGACCCAGCAGUCGGAGGUCGGGGGCGGGCCAGAGGAGGAGAGAAGCAGGUCUGAAUGGAGAAAAGGUUCAGCUGGCUCGAUGGAGGGACAAAUGAACCCAAAACCUGCAGAUUGCCGGCCUGCUGCUGGAAAAGAGGAGACAGCGAGAGAGGAAAAAAUCCAUCCAUUAUCUGAAACUUAGCGCCCCCUGGGAUGUGUUGGUUUAUUACGCAGAGGAGCUCAUUCUAAGAGUGCCCCUACAGGCCCAACCAAACCCAGACUUCAACACGUCUGACCGGAUCCUUCGGAAGCUAUGCAUUCCCAACAUCAUGGCUGAGUCCAUGUCCAGCAGGCCACUGGACUACUACACUUGUGCCUUUCGCAAGUCAUAAUCUGUUACUGUAUGUGUGCAAAUGACUACAGGUUUAACCUGUUGAGGGUAGGGGGCAGUAUUUGCACGGCCGGAUAAAAAACGUACCCGAUUUAAUCUGGUUAUUACUACUGCCCAGAAACUAGAAUAUGCAUAUAAUUAUUGGCUUUGGAUAGAAA